UAGGGAAUCUUCCGCAAUGGACGCAAGUCUGACGGAGCAACGCCGCGUGAGUGAAGAAGGAUUUCGGUUCGUAAAACUCUGUUGUUAGAGAAGAACAGCGCAUAGAGUAACUGUUAUGCGUGUGACGGUAUCUAACCAGAAAGCCACGGCUAACUACGUGCCAGCAGCCGCGGUAAUACGUAGGUGGCAAGCGUUGUCCGGAUUUAUUGGGCGUAAAGCGAGCGCAGGCGGUCAAUUAAGUCUGAUGUGAAAGCCCCGGCUCAACCGGGGAGGGUCAUUGGAAACUGGUUGACUUGAGUGCAGAAGAGGAGAGUGGAAUUCCAUGUGUAACGGUGAAAUGCGUAGAUAUAUGGAGGAACACCAGUGGCGAAGGCGACUCUCUGGUCUGUAACUGACGCUGAGGCUCGAAAGCGUGGGUAGCAAACAGG
rnacentral:rRNA from 1 species